GCUGACGAAUAAUACAAAUGAAUUAAAAUAGUAUAAGUGAACCCACACAAAAAGCUUUCUGCUCUGACUCUUGUCCCACUGAAGUUCCUGUUCUGUGGUUCCGGCUGCCCAACCGCAAGUAGAAAAUGACUCCCAGCAUUCUACCACCCUUAAAAGCUAUAGAAAGUGAAACAGCUAAAGAUACCGAAUCUCUAAGGCCAGACCAGGCUAGGAGGAACACACUGGCUUCUAAUAAUUUACAGAGAAGCUCUGCUAAGUCAGUCCUUGCCCUCCGACAGCCAGUCCUGCAAACAAGGAGAGCAUUCAGGAGGAUACACAGCCCCACUGCAAUCACGUAAAAUACAUGGAUGAAUUUUGUGUUUGAAGAGUCUCAGCUGGGUUGCAGAGAUGUGGACUCUCCCAGACCUUCAGACUCACCCAAUGGGCUCUGGAGGAGUCUCUGCUACCCUCUUUUGCUGGAUAAAUGGGUCAAACCCUCCCCCAUGAAUUCAUGUGGUAAAGGUGUUUUCUGAAAUGCAUGUAAAACGGACUAGGAUAGCAAUCUCUUUUUUUUUAAGGUUCACAUAUACAGCCCAUGUAUAGGCAGUUUUUCUUUAUAAAUACUCUGAAUGUUAAGUGCAGAACAAAAGGUUUGCAUGCAUGCAUUGUAUCAGAGAAAACAGAACUCCUAGUUUUAGGUGAGUCUGGGAGGGAAUAAAG
rnacentral:lncRNA from 1 species